AACGAACGCUGGCGGCAUGCCUAACACAUGCAAGUCGAACGAGACCUCCGGGUCUUGUGGCGCACGUGUGGGUACCGCGUGGUGACUUACCCUUAGGUUCGGUGUACCUCACCGAGAGGGGUGCUAAUGCAGGAUAGUGUCUUAGGAGCAAAGAUCUAUCGCGGUUGGAUGGGCGCGCGUUGGUUUCGCCGGUUGGUAGUGUACAAGCCUACCAAGGCGACGUUGCAGAGCUGGUCUGAGAGGAGGAUCAACUAGACUGGGACUGCGACACGGCCCAGACUCGUACGGAGGACAGCAGUAGAGAAUAUUAGAGGAGGAGCGAAAGCCUGAUCCAGCAAUGCCGCGGGAGUGAUCAAGGCCUUAGUGUUGUAAAGCUCUUUUACCCGAGAUGAUAAUGACGGUACCGGGAGAAUAAGCACCGGCUAACUCCGUG
rnacentral:rRNA from 1 species